AUUGCUUCUUGGCCUUUUGGCUAAGAUCAUGUGUAGUAUCUGUUCUUAUCAAUUUAAUAAGAAAUUUAGUUGAUUGGAUAUAUGAUCUUAAAAUAAUUUAUUUUCU
rnacentral:snRNA from 1 species